GACGAACGCUGGCGGCGUGCCUAACACAUGCAAGUCGAACGGAAAGGCCCUGCUUUUGUUGGGUUCUCGUUAGGCGAGCGGGUGUGUAACACGUGAGUAACCUCUCCUUGUCUGUGGGAUAUCAUCUGGGAACUGGGGCUAAUACCGGAUAUGAGCUCUUGCUCCAUGGUGGUGGUUGGUAAAUUUCGGCUUUUGUGUAUGGACUCGCGGGUUAUGAGCUUCUUUGGGUAGUAGUGGCUUACCAGGCCUUUGACGGGUAGCCGGCCUGAGAGGGUUACCGGGCACAAGGGUACUGAGAGACGGACCAGACUGGUACGGGAGGCAGCAGUGGAGAAUAUGACGCAACGGGGGGGAGUCUGAGGCAGCGACGCCGCGAUCGGAAAGACGGCCUACUGGGUGAAAACAGAUGUCGACGGUGACGUAGACGGAGUGACGGUAAUGGGUAAAGAAGCAACGGCUAACUACGUG
rnacentral:rRNA from 1 species